rnacentral:lncRNA from 1 species
GCUGCCCGAGGCCAUAUUAGGAAUUAGGGUUCCUCUUUCGAGGCCAUUCGAGCUUUUGAGGCUAGGGUCAGAAGGUUUAGGAUUUUGGGUAUAAUUUGGGUGAAGAUUUUGUGUGAUUUCGAGUUUUUAUGGAAAAGAUAUGAAUGUUCAAAGAUAAGGUGUCAAUUUCGUACCUACUGUCACUUCUUUUGGGCAUCACAUACGAAUACAGAGAGCAACGGAAGAUCGGCGACUGGAUUUGGAGGGAGCAUUUUUUCGGCUACACAUUCUACUUACUGUAUAGUGAAUUCUAAGAUUGGGUGAAGGAGUUAUGAGGCGUUGAAGACAGCACUUGUAAUUUGAAGGCAGUAAGUAUAUCGUUUUGUUGCUAGUUAUGGGUGAAGCCAUAUCUUGAGUUUCUGGACGAAUUUUUGACUUAAAAUUUCCACAAGUGUGUAUAAUUGGAUUAAGAAGCUUUAAAUCAAAGUUUCAUAGUAUUUAAAUAAUUACUUUGUGAGAUAUGAAGGAAUUUGUACACGGGUGUAAAAAAGCUAGGGUUUGAAGCUACAGUUAGGGUUUUCAAGAUAUCACAAGAUCCAAGACGAAUUUAUGGUUGAAUUUUGGUGUGGUAGUUGCUAAAGAUAUAUCAGUACUCCACGUAAAAUUUGGAGUUGUUUAGACGGUUAGAUCGUAAGUUAUGAGCUGUUGAACUUUGGG